CCUACGGGAGGCAGCAGUGAGGAAUAUUGGUCAAUGGGCGCGAGCCUGAACCAGCCAAGUAGCGUGAAGGAUGACUGCCCUACGGGUUGUAAACUUCUUUUGUAAAGGAAUAAAGUGAGGCACGUGUGCCUUUUUGUAUGUACUUUAUGAAUAAGGAUCGGCUAACUCCGUGCCAGCAGCCGCGGUAAUACGGAGGAUCCGAGCGUUAUCCGGAUUUAUUGGGUUUAAAGGGAGCGUAGAUGGGUUGUUAAGUCAGUUGUGAAAGUUUGGGGCUCAACCGUAAAAUUGCAAUUGAUACUGGUAGUCUUGAGUGCAGUUGAGGUAGGCGGAAUGCGUGGUGUAGCGGUGAAAUGCUUAGAUAUCACGCAGAACUCCGAUUGCGAAGGCAGCUUACCAAACUGCCACUGACAUUGAUGCACGAAAGUGUGGGGAUCAAACAGGAUUAGAUACCCGUGUAGUC
rnacentral:rRNA from 1 species